rnacentral:rRNA from 1 species
GACGAACGCUGGCGGCGUGCUUAACACAUGCAAGUCGAACGAAGUGGCGAACGGGUGAGUAACGCGUAAUCAACCUGCCCUUCAGAGGGGGACAACAGUUUCAAACGACUGCUCAUACCGCAUACUGCAGGUGGGGAUUGCGUCGGAUUAGCUAGUUGGAGGGGGAACGGCCCACCAAGGCGAGGAACAGUAGCCGGGCGGGGGGGGGGAAAGGCCAAAUUGGGACUGGGACACGGGCCAAGAUCCUACGGGGGGGAGCAGUGGGGGAACUUCCGCAAAGGGCGGAAGUCUGACGCGGCAAAGCCGGGUGGGUGGAGAAGGGCUUCGGGUGGUAAAGCUCUGUUAAUCGGGGCGCGGUACCGAAAUAGAAAGCCACGGCUAACUACGUGCCAGCAGCCGCGGUAAUUC